CUCCAGUGAAUACUUGGAAGCACAUCAGGCUGAGUUGGAUUAUCUCUCUGGUCGUCACAAAGAUACGAAGAGGAAUUCCAGAUUGGCCUUCUAUUAUGACCUGGAUAAGCAAAUUCGCUCUGUGGAGAGAUACAUCAGAAAACUGGAGUUUCACAUAAGCAAGGU